CCUGGAGAAAGACUGCGUCCUGACUGUGCGCCUGCGCAGUGCUGUCGGGUCCGGGGAAAUUCGGCUUCCGGAGGAAGUUCAAAGGUUGGAUCUUUGGUUUUUCAAAUGUUCUUCAAACCAUUAUACUGGUAUUACUUGAGCAGUAGGUGUAAAGCUCUACGGAAGAGAAAACUGAUCUAGAAGAGAUUUAGGCAUCAGAAACAAAUUGAAGAAUCCUCAGAAGAGAUGAUGGGGAAGCCUUGGGAUGCAGUCACCCAUAGAACAUCUCAUAGAGCAUCUCAAGAAAGAGAAGAAGGCAGGUCUAAGCAUGAAAACUUGGGGAAUACCAGCAUUUAAGGAGAGCCUGAGGAGGAAAAUGCCAUAGAGAGACUGAGAAAUUACAGCCAGAGAAAUAGGAAGAGAAUCUGAAAAGUCAGGAUUCUAGAACUAAUUAUUGUCAAUGGUGAAUGCUGUCGGGUACGGUCUGGGCCAGGGGUGGGGGAGUAGGAUAGAAACCAAACAUGGCAGAAAGAGUUUCAGGGAUGUAGAGAAUGCAGAAGUUAGAUUGCAGGGGAGUGAAUGGAAGUGAGGAAGCAAAGUAAUUGGCAGCUACUCUUUACUAAGUUGAGUUGCAGAGAGUGGAUUUUGAAGGACCUGCUCUGCUCUGUGUAGGUUGACAGGCCCUUGACAGAAGCUUUGGUGCUUUUGAAACAAUUGGCUGUUGAAGCAAAGGUACAAGGAGAAGGACAGCCAGCCAAGUCAGCAGUUACUCACUCCACUCCCUCCUGGCAACCGAGAAAAGAGAAGGCUACAUGGGCCCCACCUUUGUGAUGGAACGUGUGUGAGUGUCUCAUUCCAGGGAGGCCUCCUGCUGCUCACUCUUCCACUUAUGUGGUAGGGGGAUCACCCCCCCAUGGUAGGCAAGGUCAGGGGCUGCUGAAAUCCUAUCUGAUUCUACCAGCCAUUUACACUGGAGUAAGGAGAACUUUGUUCUGGGUUUCACCAGAGCACCAGAUGGGCUAGCAGCUUCAUUGCAUACAGCCCUUCUUGGUCCGAGAAGCUUGGCCUUAGCUAAUCUCAUUUCUCCUCAGAAGGCAAAUAUGGGGAAGUCUUUUGCUCUACACAGAUGUGUGCAGUAAAGAAGUACUCAAUUAGAACUUUGCAUCAGAAUCCCAUCAUAUCUGGAAAGAUAUUUUGUGUGCUGAGUAAGUGGUAUAGCUUAAACAGUUAAGCACAUGAAUGCUGGAUUUGCAUCCUAGAGCCACUGCUUAAGUAAUCUUGGGUAAGUUACUUAACCUUUCUGUACUUUGAGUUUUUAUCAUAAAGAUUAAAUGAGA